GGCUGGUACAAAGGUGGUGAGUUAUCUCAGAUGAUUAUUCAUAGUCAGUGGCAGACUGAACUCCUGGUUCUACUCUUCUUACUACUGAAUUUGUCUAAUUUUUA
rnacentral:Y_RNA from 1 species